UACGGUGGCCAUACCAUCUUGCAAGUGCCCAAUCUCAUCCAAUCUUGGAAGCUAAGCAGCCUGCUUACUACUUGAAUGGGAGACCGCCUUGGAAGACCAGGCGCCAUUAGAC
rnacentral:rRNA from 12 species